rfam:Brachypodium distachyon strain Bd21 chromosome 2, whole genome shotgun sequence.
UUAGUACUUCCUCCGUGCAACAAAGGAUGUCUCAAUUUUGAUUAAAUUUGAAUGCAUCUAUACACUAAGUCAUGUCUAGAUACAUUUAAAUUUUGACGAAGUUGAGACAUCUUUUGUUGGACGGAAGGAGUUUAUA